CCUACGGGAGGCAGCAGUGGGGAAUAUUGGGCAAUGGGCGCAAGCCUGACCCAGCAACGCCGCGUGAAGGAAGAAGGCCUUCGGGUUGUAAACUUCUUUUGUCAGGGACGAAGCAAGUGACGGUACCUGACGAAUAAGUCACGGCUAACUACGGGCCAGCAGCCGCGGUAAUACGUAGGUGGCAAGCGUUAUCCGGAUUUAUUGGGUGUAAAGGGCGUGUAGGUGGGAUGGGAAGUCAGAUGUGAAAAGUAUGGGCUCAACCCAUAGACUGCAUUUGAAACUGUAUUUCUUGAGUGCUGGAGAGGCAAGCGGAAUUCCGGGUGUAGCGGUGAAAUGCGUAGAUAUACGGAAGAACACCAGUGGCGAAGGCGGAUUGCUGGACUGUAACUGACGCUGAGGCGCGAAAGCGUGGGGAGCAAACAGGAUUAGAUACCCUUGUAGUC
rnacentral:rRNA from 1 species